CCUACGGGUUGCAGCAGUGGGGAAUAUUGCACAAUGGGCGCAAGCCUGAUGCAGCGACGCCGCGUGCGGGAUGACGGCCUUCGGGUUGUAAACCGCUUUUGACUGGGAGCAAGCCCUUCGGGGUGAGUGUACCUUUCGAAUAAGCACCGGCUAACUACGUGCCAGCAGCCGCGGUAAUACGUAGGGUGCAAGCGUUAUCCGGAAUUAUUGGGCGUAAAGGGCUCGUAGGCGGUUCGUCGCGUCCGGUGUGAAAGUCCAUCGCUUAACGGUGGAUCCGCGCCGGGUACGGGCGGGCUUGAGG
rnacentral:rRNA from 1 species